GCGCACCAGGCGAGAAACCUCCGCAAUACACGAAAGUGCGACGGGGCCAUCCCGAGUGCCGUCCGCUGAGGACGGCUUUUCCCCAGUGUACACAGCUGGGGGAAUAAGGAGAGGGCAAGCCUGGUGUCAGCCGCCGCGGUAAUACCAGCUCUCCGAGUGGUGGGGACGCUUAUUGGCCUAAAGCAUCCGUAGCCGGCUGGGCAAGUCCUCCGUUAAAUCCAACGAUUCAAUCGUUGGGCUGC
rnacentral:rRNA from 1 species